UGUACACUUACAAUGGGUGAAUUUUAUGGUAUGUAAAUUAUACCUCAAUAAAGCUAUAAAAAGUAGAAUGUUUUAUGAAACAUCAAUACUCAACUCCCAGGACCCCACAGGAUUGUUUGAAAACCAGUGGGCUGUGUGGAUUCUGGAUGGCCUUCAGACUCUGCCCUUCUGGAAUUCUGAGUUCAUUUUUAGCACCUACUUGGUGCAGAUUGCUAUGGCUUAUAUGUGGACGAGGAUUCCAUCUUCUAUACUGUCAGCCCAGCCCCAGCACAGCGCCUGGCCCAAAGGAGGUUUAACUAACAAACGCUAAGUUGUUGUUAGUUGAGUGAAUGAACGCCUGGAGGAAUACCUUGUACAUUUUUUUUGAGGGUAUAUCAGACUUUGGGCUACUUGGGGGCAGGCCCUGCCUCUUCAUUUCUGAACCCCCAACUCCCAGCACAGACCCGGUGCAGAAAGAAGGGGAUGCUGGGCAGAUCAGAACAAGUGUCCACCAGAAAGUUCCAUAACUGCAAAAGAUGGAAAUGAGAGUUGAAAGAAUUAAGAGAUGUCACCAAAGCUGGUAAGUUCACAACCACAAAUGUGAGGGCACCCCUGAGUGCCAUGGGGGGUGGUGGUCAGAGAAGGAAGUGGGCAGUGGGCUAAGAAGCUAAGGAGAACUGAGCGACUUACAGUUUCUUCUUCUUUUAAAACUCUUGCUAAGCUACUGACUAAUAUUGAUAGCCAUCUCUUAGCACCAGGGCCAUUUCCUCUUUGUUCUGGAAACCUCAGGAGUCCAAUGGCUUUGAUUAAAUGGUGUGAGGAGGACCCGUGUGAGCAAGGUGCAGUUGUUGGCUCUGGGGUCCCACCUGGCCUUCGCCCGAGGCAUUUCCUGUGUAACACUUGCCUGCAAGUCCCACGUCCGACUUGUAUCUCAGGGGAAAUGGGAAGAAAGAAUGCUCCCUACUCUCCUGUGGCACAUGCUAUGUCUCUGUCUUCUGAAUCAUUGCUCACAGCUUGUCUGCAAGGUAAAGCAGGGGAUGAAGAGUCAAAGCACCAGAAGCACAGCUGUCCUGCCAGCCCCUAAGUCAGCUCCAAGGGUGAGAAAUAGGAUGCAUUUCAGCCCCGAGGAAUGAACUCCUGGGACGUAUGUCUGUCAGGCAGAGUCUGGAGCACUUCCUAGAAAUCUUGACCUGUCGCCGUCAGUGGGGAAGGCUAAUUAAAGGAAAUAAAAGGCUGGUAGCCAGGAGAUUCCAACGUGCUGAGAAAACAAAGGCAGCCAACCUGCGAACUGCGAAGUCAGCUCUCAGCUUUGCCCCUGCCCCGCUCCCUCCACCACCCACCCAAACGCUCGCUCGUUUCUUCACCGGAUUUCCAGAUUUUGCACUACCAACCUACUCUUUGUUUACCCUGAUGGAUCAGCGGAGACAACCUUUGCAUAGGAGGCUAAUGCAGUAACCGAGGCCUCCGAGGCCAGCUCCCUCAACGGCUGGAGCUGUCUCUUCUUCAUCGUGUGUCCGAUGCAGGGCCAGGCAGCUGCCCGUGGUGGUUCAGAGUAAGGACAUGGAAAUGCAAAUGAAAACUACCAGACACGUCUAUUCCUUCAUCAGAAUGACUAACACUAAAAAGACUGACCAUAGCAAGUGUUGGUGAGGAUGUGGAAUGACUAAAACACUCAUACGCUUCUGAUGGGAAUGCAAAAUGAUACAGUACAGCACGUGGGAACACACUUUGGCAGUGUAUUAGAAAGUUAAAUGUGCACUUUACCAUAUGACCCAGCCAUCCACUCCUAGGUCCUUUCAAAAGUGAAAUGAAAACAGAUAUCUACUCAAAGACUUGUACACGAAUGCUCAGAGCAGCAUUAUUCAUGUAAGCCAAAAAGUGGAAGCAACUGAAAUGUCCAUCAAUAGCUGAAUGGAUCAACAAAAUGUGGUCUGUCUAUGCAAUGGAAUUAUAUUUGGCCAUAAAAAAGGAAUGAAGUACUGAUAGAUGUUAUAACGUGUAUGAACCUUGAAAACAUUCUGCCAAGUGAAAGAAGGGAGCGAUGAAAGACCACAUAUUGUAGGACUCCAUUUAGAUGAAAUGUCCAGAAUAGGCAAAUCUAUAGAGACACAAAGUAGAUUCAUGGCUGCCCGGGGCUGGAAGGAGGAAAGAAUGAGGAAUAACCACUAAUGGGUAGGGGCGUUUUUUUUGGGGUGCUGAAAAUGUUCUCAAAUUGAUUGUGGUGAUGCUUGCACAAGUCUGUGAAUAUAUUUUUAAAAAUGCUCAGUUGUAUACUUUAAAAGAGUGAAUUGGAUGGUAUGUGAGUUAUAGCUCAAUAAAGCAGGUACACGCACACGUACAUAGUGGCGAUGAGGACAUGACUCAAGCUUGACGCAAGCAGUCACGCAGCGCGAGGAGUCCCAUAAUUAGGCCUGCAGAUUGAAUCGGGCUGUGGAAUCUUGUUUGGCUGGCAGCGUUUGAAAACAUUAUUUGAUCUCUGUGCCUGUAGGCUGGGC
ensembl:lncRNA